GGUUUACUCUCGCAGUCCCAGCUUCACAAAAAAGUGAAAGCACGUCACUGCGCAAGCGCGGCCACUGCUGCUGGACCGCAGAGCUGGCCGUGUCUAGGGACAACAAUGUAGAAUUCAUGCGUGGGACCCUAGCUGCUGGUUGCAAGAUAUCUUUUUACAGGCUCACCGUUCUCCUGUAGCUAUGGCCGCAGCUCCCGCCGUUCUCCUGCUCCUGCAGCGUAAACUCAUCACACACGCUGCACACGUGACUAGCGCGCUGGCUGGAGCGUAGGAGCUUGGAGCUCCGUGCAGCCGCCAGGGCCUUUCUUCUGUGCAAACCACUUCUCCUACCUGUUCUUCUUGUAAGGACGCCAGUCCUAUUGGAUUAGAGCCCCAGUCUUAUGGCCCCUUUUAACCGUGAUUUCCUCCUUAAAAGC